AUGCAGGUGAGUGAUCCUGAGGGUAUCCCCUCCAACCGGAUGUUCCCCCGGCCUGUGGUCUUUCCCUACCUCACCCUGUCUCUCUGGGUCUCCAGGGCCUGGUGGGAAUGCCGGGGCCGCGAGGUGUGGUGGGAAGGCAAGGCCAAGAAGGACUCCCCGGCCAGGAUGGAGUUCCUGGGAAGGAUGGCCGAGCAGGAGAGCAGGGGGAACAAGGAGAUGACGGAGAAGUUGGACCCUUUGGCCCCGCAGGCAGGAGAGGAAAUCCAGGUGUGGCUGGUUUGCCUGGAGCUCAGGGACCCCCAGGAUUCAAGGGUGAAAAUGGGUUGCCUGGACAGCUGGGCCCUAUCGGCAAGCGAGGGACAGAGGGAGGAACAGGGCUCCCCGGGAGCCAAGGGGAGCCCGGAUCCAAAGGCCAGCCGGUGAGUGACUAUGGCAUGAAUCCCAGAUGUUCCCCCACUUAUUUAAUAUAAGAUUCCCUUGGGGGCAACUGGGUAGCUCAGUGGAUGGAGAGCCAGACCCAGAGACAGGAGAUCCUGGAUUCAAAUUUGACCUCAGACACUUCCCAGCUGUGUGACUCUGGGCAAGUCACUUAACCCCCAUGGCCUAGCACUGCCCUC
rnacentral:lncRNA from 1 species